UCCAUAAGGUUGUAACCACUCGUUAAAUUGUAAGGUUGGCAUUACAGCCAAUGGUGUUUUUCACAUGAACAGAUUGGUAGCGGCGCAUAUGUCAAAAUUUGACAAUUACGCACGAGAGAGUUUUAUUUAAAUAUCUCACAGUUUGUUAUUAAACCAUACCAUUGAAAAAUGGUACCGACACGGCAUAUUGUGGUAAAUAAGCAGAUGAAAAUGGCACUUGCCAACUGCCACAAUGAAUUGAAACUUGCUUAUCCCCAAGCAUCCUCCCGAGAACUUGAAUUCAAGCUUGUAAAAAUCUUUUCAGUAUGUAGUUAUUCUUAUACCAUGGAAAGAGAGUACUAUACUAUGAGAGUAACGUAUCGACAUUCGGAACUUUUUUCAUGUUAUUACAACAUGGUGUGUUCUCGAUGUCAAGCCCACAAAAUUAUAACCCAACACCAAUCUGGAGAACCGUUACAAGAAGCAAAGUGGAAACCAAAACAAAAAUCGCAGUGGUAUUCAAAUUUGGAAUUUAAAGAAGAUCUAACCUACCGUAUAUUUGACAAAAACAAAAAAAAUGAGUUUUUUACUCUUCAGGAUUUGUUUAUUUUUGCGAAAGAACAUCCAGAAUAUACAGCAAGUUUAAAUACUUUACGUUGAGUAUUAAAAUCCAUGGGAUUCAGAUUUAAGAAAGUUAACAACAGAAAAAUAAUUGCUUUUUGGUUAUUUGGUCUAUGUGUUCCCAAUGUUUCUAACCACUCCUGUAACAGUAAGUUUAAAUAAGCCGUCAAAUUAUUUUCAACAUACCUAUUAUUUUAGCCUCUGAAUUUUGUGAAGUUACAUUUUGUUCAUUAUUACCACUAAAAUCGUCAGGACGGAGGAGCAUAGCCAGACCUAUCGCCUUCAACCAAAUCCCUUGUACAUUUUGUAAAUAAUAAGUAGUACCAAAUAUUAGAGUUAUUAAACAUAACAUUAAAGACUU